rnacentral:misc_RNA from 1 species
UACGGAUGGUGCAAGCGUUGUCCGGAUUUAUUGGGCUUAAAGGGUGCGUAGGCGGGUUAAUAAGUCAGUGGUGAAAGCCGACAGCUCAACUGUCGAACUGCCAUUGCUACUGUUAGCCUUGAGUAUAGUUGAGGUAGGCGGAAUGGAAGGUGUAGCGGUGAAAUGCAUAGAUAUCUUCCAGAACACCGAUAGCGUAGGCAGCUUACUAGGCUAUAACUGACGCUGAGGCACGAAAGCGUGGGGAGCGAACAGG